GGGUUAAUUUUGGGGCUCUCAGCACUCCAAGUCUGAAAGGAGGUGAUGGUUGACCCUUGCUGCUAGUUCAUGGAUACCUUUGACUUUGCAUAUUAGAAUUGCAAAAGUCAUGGGUUUGCAUGAAUUUGGAGAUAGGGUUGCCUUGAUCUUUUUGUAUUGGAGUGAAGGGAGCUCCAAAUUUUUUCUUU
rnacentral:pre_miRNA from 1 species